ensembl:lncRNA
AGAAUUUAGGAGUCUCCGAGUGAGACAACCGUGUGAAGACGCGAGAAACGGAGCAAAGAGAGAAGGCACAAGCUUCCGCCAUUCCGAUCCUUGCCAACAAGAGCGCCACUUCUGCUUACUAUGGAGAGGUGCUGGAGAACUGUCUUCACCCUGACCAGACAUCAUCCUGGGCGUCCGGUUGAAAUUUCAGCCUUGAGAUCCUGAGGGGAACCAGUGCCAAAGGUGACAGCUGCUUCUGUGAGGGGUUCUGCUUGGCCAGAGAGGCUGGGCCAUCUCCUAGGGGGUU